UUCUUUUUGUUUUGUUUUUCAGAGUCUGGAGAACACUUUUUCUUUUGAGCUGUUUACAACCUUUAGCAAUUGAGUAGAGUGUACUCUUGUCAAUAGAAUUUGAAGCACAUUUCUCUCUCUGCCUGAUUUCUGUAGAAUUUGUAAACUAUUUGUGAAUAUUCUUAAUUUAUGGCAAUAUGGUUGCUUACAUAAGUUCAAUAAUAAUCUGUUUUCUUUUACAAUGAGACACAGUUGGAGGAACUGGUUAUUUUCCCAGGGCUUUGACUGAAAUGGCCUUGUGAAUGGUUCCAGGAAAGCCAAUUUUGGAGACCCUAUGUGGAUGAUGAUGCUUGCUGUACUUUCUGUGGGUAAUCGGGCCAAGUAUAUGGGACUGAAGCUAAUUUUGCAGGUGAGAAAAUGGAGGUCCAGAGAGAAAAGUGACUCACCCAAGCUGAAAACAGUUGCAGGAAGAAAAGCCAGGACAGAACUGGGCUGUUAGAAACCUUGGAGUACACUAAAGAUGAGGAACUGAGUCACCGCAAUGCCAAAUGUAACACGCUGUGGGUCAAAAUUUGGAUGGUUGCGUUGGAAAUUAUUCUGAAGCCACAGACAGGGCUAAAAGGUAAGUAUGAAUAAUUAGUAAUGCUUGCCAUAGACAGAUUAAAGUGUUGACAUCACAUAGGACAAGAAUUUGCCACCAAUAGAUGAGAGGAUUGUUGAUGUCCUUGAAUUGGAAAUGAACGAGCUAAUUGGUUAGUUACUUAUUCACUCUAACCCAGAAAGCAGCAGCUUGUGAAAAAAGUUUUUGCUGGUAACACACAGGAAAUAGAAAAUUUAGUAUUUUUUCCAGUGGAAAAGCCCUCUUGUAUCACCAAGCAGAAGAGAACAUGAUGUCUUUUCUUUUGAUGUAAUUUAGGAUGAUUCACAAAGUGUUCAUAGCAGGGAAGCUGAUGGAAAAGUGACAUGCCCCUAGACUUGAGAGAUGCUCUCUAAGUUUAAAAAGGAAACAGCUUAUUGUAAAAUUUAUUUGAAUCCUACAACCUUCCCAUAUCUGUGUAAUUAGCAAAAAGACAAGCUGCAACCAGAGAGGUAAAGUAUCAAUUUAUCUCAUACUUAUUUAUUGAGAACAUCCUCUGAGCUGUGUACUAUGUUAGGCAGAGAAAACAAACAAUAAGCAAGACACAGUCCCUGACUCCAUAUGAUUAUCAGGGAGGCUAGGAAAAGUCAUCUCUGCUUGGACAACUCCUUUCCAGAAAUACCUCUCUUCUCUUAAAGGGACAUG
rnacentral:lncRNA from 1 species